UCAGGACGAACGCUGGCGGCGUGCCUAAUACAUGCAAGUCGAACGGUCUUUUCUAUGGAAGCUUGCUUCCACUGAGAAGAUAGUGGCGAACGGGUGAGUAACACGUGGGUAACCUGCCCAUAAGAGGGGGAUAACAUCCGGAAACGGGUGCUAAUACCGCAUAGUUUUCUUGAUCGCAUGAUCGGGAAAGGAAAGACGGCCUUUGUGCUGUCGCUUAUGGAUGGACCCGCGGCGUAUUAGUUAGUUGGUGAGGUAACGGCUCACCAAGACGAUGAUACGUAGCCGACCUGAGAGGGUGAUCGGCCACAUUGGGACUGAGACACGGCCCAAACUCCUACGGGAGGCAGCAGUAGGGAAUCUUCCGCAAUGGAGGAAACCCUGAUGCAGCAAACGCCGCGUGAGUGAUGACGGCCUUCGGAUUGUAAAGCUCUGUCUUCAGGGACGAUAAUGACGGUACCUGAGGAGGAAGCCACGGCUAACUACGUGCCAGCAGCUGC
rnacentral:rRNA from 1 species